rnacentral:rRNA from 1 species
GACGAACGCUGGCGGCGUGCUUAACACAUGCAAGUCGAGCGGUAAGGCCCUUUCGGGGGUACACGAGCGGCGAACGGGUGAGUAACACGUGGGUGACCUGCCCUCAGCUCUGGGAUAAGCCUGGGAAACCGGGUCUAACACCGGAUAUGACUCCAUGACGCAUGUUGUGGGGUGGAAAGCCUUGUGCGGCUGAGGAUGGGCCCGCGGCCUAUCAGCUUGUUGGUGGGGUGAUGGCCUACCAAGGCGACGACGGGUAGCCGGCCUGAGAGGGCGACCGGCCACACUGGGACUGAGACACGGCCCAGACUCCUACGGGAGGCAGCAGUGGGGAAUCUUGCGCAAUGGGCGAAAGCCUGACGCAGCGACGCCGCGUGAGGGAUGACGGCCUCGG